GAUGAACGCUGGCGGCGUGCCUAAUACAUGCAAGUCGAGCGAACAGACGAGGAGCUUGCUCCUCUGACGUUAGCGGCGGACGGGUGAGUAACACGUGGAUAACCUACCUAUAAGACUGGGAUAACUUCGGGAAACCGGAGCUAAUACCGGAUAAUAUAUUGAACCGCAUGGUUCAAUAGUGAAAGACGGUUUUGCUGUCACUUAUAGAUGGAUCCGCGCCCAUUAGCUAGUUGGUAAGGUAACGGCUUACCAAGGCAACGAUGCGUAGCCGACCUGAGAGGGUGAUCGGCCACACUGGAACUGAGACACGGUCCAGACUCCUACGGGAGGCAGCAGUAGGGAAUCUUCCGCAAUGGGCGAAAGCUUGACGGAGCAACGCCGCGUGAGUGAUGAAGGUCUUCGGAUCGUAAAACUCUGUUAUUAGGGAAGAACAAAUGUGUAAGUAACUAUGCACGUCUUGACGGUACCUAAUCAGAAAGCCACGGCUAACUACGUG
rnacentral:rRNA from 1 species